rnacentral:lncRNA from 1 species
GCUCUCUGCCAGAGCUCGGGACUGGUGCUGACCUGCAGGAUGGAGGAGAGAAGAGAAGACUCAUCAACAGAACAAAUGUUGCUGGAACAUUACUUAUAAUGGCAACAAUUGGAAACAAUCAAAGGAUGUCACUAUAGGGACUUGGGUUAAGAAAAUUAUGACACAUCAAAAGCCUCUGGUAACCAUCAUUCUACUCUCUGUCUCCAUGAAAUCAACUGUUUUUAGCUCCCACGUCACAGUGAAGAGAACUUCUGUCAAUCCUGUCAAGCACAUGAAGAUGUGAAGUUUCAACUGGAUUCAUUUCUAUAAAUAAGCCGAUACAAUUUCCAGAAAACCCUGAAGUCAGGAAAACCAAUGUUACUAAUGGCCUUAGGCUACGAGAAGAUCUGGUUAAGAGUAUCCUAAGGGAGGAUCUAAGCCUGUUCAUACUCUACAAGCAAAGAAACAUUAAAAAACAAAACAAAAAACCAAAACUUGAAGAAACGAAGUGACCAGUUCACUACCAUUCAACUAUUAAGGGAUAGAGCCAGGACUCAGUAUCUAGUCAUGUGAUGACAAAGCCCGCACUCUUACUGUACAGCCUCACCUUGGAUAAAUCUCAUUUCAAGACAGGUAAUUUUGAGAAUAUCUUAGGCCCCCCUUCUAUCAAAGAGAGGGAUCGAAUUUAAAAUUUAUCUGGAAUGCCAACUCUGAUUAACUCCCUGGAGAGAGUCCCUGGAGGACUGGUUGAGAAGAACCCUGAGGAUGCAUCAGUGUUCAUCAGGAAAGGGCGCCAACACCCAGCGUGCCCACUCAUGAGCAGGGAGGAGAUGAUGCAUGGGAAUCCACAACUCUAUCUCAAGUUUCCCAGACACACACUAAAGCUCUGCAGAAGAUUUUGGUGCCCCUGAGCUACUUUUACACAGCAAAGAAGACUUCUGAUGUGAUUCCUGGUGGCAGUGCGUAGUAUGCGAUGAUUUCCAUCAGAGUGGCUGGGUUUGUCAAAGCUUUAUUAGAGAUUCCUAUGAUUUGAAGAAAAAGCCAGGGUCCUAUUUUGGCAACUUUUCUGAUAUAAGUAAUAAAAACAAAAUGCCAUGAAUUUAAAUUGUUAGGUUUCU